CGACCUUAGCCCCAUCCUUACAGGUUUUUUCUGCUGUAUUUCUUUGUAUUAUUUUCAUAUUAAGAGGAAAAAAUGUCUUCUUGUGGAGGGAGCUGUGGGUGUAGAUCUAGCUGCAACUGCGGCGGUGGAUGCGGAGGGCACUUGGAAGGUUUCCAGAUGGCUGCUGGCUCCCAUAGUGAAGGUUGCAAGUGUGGAUCCAGCUGCACCUGUGACCCCUGCAAUUGCAAAUGAGGAGGCUUGCCUUAAAAGUGAGAAACAAGUACUAGGUUUGCAGACUUGUGAGUGUGGUGUGGUGUUUGUGUCAAGAGUUCAGACUCUAGUGUUUUAAAUAAGAGGCCAUGGCUACAAAUUGCAUGAUGAGUUCCUCUUGGUAUAGUUGUUCCUGUGGCCAUCAUGUAUUGGGGUUGCUAAGCUUCUGCCUAUGGUGUGCUUGCUCUAUUGUAUGCUAUUGUUGGUUUGAACCAAAAGUUGUAUAUUGAUUGGAACUAGCUAUAUGAAAAGUUGGCUCUACUUGUGGGUUGUCCAA